AUUGAACGCUGGCGGCAGGCCUAACACAUGCAAGUCGAGCGGAUGAAGGGAGCUUGCUCCUGGAUUCAGCGGCGGACGGGUGAGUAAUGCCUAGGAAUCUGCCUGGUAGUGGGGAGUACGUCCGGAAAAGGGUGGCAACACCCCCAACGUUCUGAGGGAGAAACUGGGGGACUUUUCGGCCUUAACGUUUUCGGUUAGUCUUGGUCGGGUUAGUUUGGUGGUGGGGUUAAGGCCUACCAACGUGACGAUCCGCAACCGGUCUGAGAGGAUGAUCAGUAACACUGGAAAUGAGAAACGGUCCAGACUCAUACGGGAGGCAGCAGUGGGGAAUAUUGGACAAUGGGCGAAAGCCUGAUCCAGCCAUGCCGCGGGUGUGAAGAAGGUCUUCGGAUUGUAAAGCACUUUAAGUUGGGAGGAAGGGCAGUAAGUUAAUACCUUGCUGUUUUGACGUUACCAACAGAAUAAGCACCGGCUAACUUCGU
rnacentral:rRNA from 1 species